GUAGACAGGGCCAGCUUCAGCCAAGGAGUGAAAACCACUUUUUCCUUCUUGAUGCAUCCUACGUAGUGCCUGUAAUUGUAUCUGGCAGCUGUUACAUUUUAUGGUGUAUUUAGGCACUACACAGGAUGCAUCAAGGAGGAAAAAGUGACUAGUUCUAAUUCUGACCAGAAGACACCUUCCCAGUGGAGAUGGCAUUUGAGAGUUUCGCUGUGUCACCCAGGCUGGAGUGCAGUGGCACAAUCUCAACUCACUGGAACUUCUGCCUCCCGGGUUCAAGCAAUUCCCUCCCUCAGCCUCCCGAGUAGCUGGGAUUACAAGCAUGCGCCACUACACC